UACGUAGGGGGCGAGCGUUGUCCGGAUUUAUUGGGCGUAAAGAGCUCGUAGGCGGUUUGGUAAGUUGGAUGUGAAAUCUCCAGGCUCAACUUGGAGGGGUCAUUCGAUACUGCCAUGACUAGAGUUCGGUAGGGGAGUGUGGAAUUCCUGGUGGAGCGGUGAAAUGCGCAGAUAUCAGGGGGAACACCCGUAGCGAAGGCGGCACUCUGGGCCGGAACUGACGCUGAGGAGCGAAAGCGUGGGGAGCGAACAGG
rnacentral:rRNA from 1 species